UAUUCUGCCCUACAGGGAAGGAUGAGAAGCUUCGACUAAGGUUCGACUCGAGCGAAGCGAGAGAACGUUGCCGCAGGCAACGGCCCGAAGGGCGAGGAGCGAUAGCGACGAGUUAUCCUUCCCCCACCACUG
rnacentral:sRNA from 2 species